GUUCUUUCUUUCUCCAGAGGGUCUCAUGACAUUCCAUGUAGGACAUAGUAUUGGUGAUAGAUGACUCUUCCUGGUGCUCAUAGGUCAUGACAUCUCAAUUGGAUGGUUUAUUUCACUGCUGAGCUGCUGCAUAUUACUCCCUUGCAGAGCUGUCUCUUCACCAGCUACUGUUAAGUUGAGCCAAGCAGAUCACUCAAGUUCUGGGGGACAGCUGCAAGAAUGGAUUAGAAUUCACACAAACAUUCUCCAUUCAAAUUGUUGAAUGAGUGGCCCAAAAUCAUUUCCUUAAACAAAUUCCUUGGACUGGACUACUCAACUUGGCAACUCCAUUGUGCCUGGAUAGACAAGGUCAGUAUAAAGUAAUGUGAUUAAAAACCCUGUAAAUAUAGCAAAAGUUAUACAUCCAAAUAAGUGGAAUUCUUUUCCAAAUAGCCAUUUUUAAAGCUUUAUAUUUAUUCUAAAGACUCAAAACACUUUUGGGAUCUCUUAAUAAUUAUGGAUAUUCACUCCAUUGAUCACUUUAAGGAUGAAUUUGUCAAUAAGAUAUCAUAUUGGAUUCUAUUAUUUUAGGUUAUAAAUUAGUGUAGUUAUAAAGAAGUUCUUAAAAAAACACCCUUACCUUCAUCCUUAGAAUCAAUACUGUGUAUUGGUUCCAAAGCAGAAGAGCAGUAAGGGCUAGGCAAUGGGGGUUAAGUGAUCUUCCUAUGGUCACAUAGCUAGGAAGUGUCUGAGUCCAGAUUAGAACCCAGUACCUCCCAUCUCUAGGCCUGGCUCUCAAUUCACUGAAUCUCCGAGCUGCCCCACAAAGAAGUUCUUAAUUAGCAGUCCAUGACCUUGAUAUAGAUAUAGUGAUUGGAGCCAAGAUGGAAUGCAUUAUUUUACUAGAAUAUUUUACCUGGAAUAGGUAGAAAUCAAAGAUAUGCUUAGUUCACUCUGUAUCACUUCAUUCAAGUCUUCCCAGGUUUAUCUGAAAUGAUAUUUUUUAUUGUUUCUUACAGCACAAUGAUAUUCUAUUAUAUUCACAUGUCAUAUUCUAUUUAGUCAUUCUCCAAUUGAUGGGUACUUCCUUGUUCAGUUCAUUGACAACAACAAAACGAGCUAUUUUUUCACAUUUAGGACCUUUUUAUCUUUCCUUUAUCUCUUUAAGAUAGAGGACUAGUAUUGUUAUAAAAUUGGUGAAGAAAAAUACUGGCCUCCCUACAGAGAGGUAAUACACUAAAUGUGCAUAAGGGAACAUACAUUUCUGGACAUGGAUAAUAUGC
rnacentral:lncRNA from 1 species